rnacentral:rRNA from 1 species
AGCGAACGCUGGCGGCAGGCCUAACACAUGCAAGUCGAACGAACCUUUCGGGGUUAGUGGCGGACGGGUGAGUAACACGUGGGAACGUGCCUUUAGGUUCGGAAUAACUCAGGGAAACUUGUGCUAAUACCGAAUGUGCCCUUCGGGGGAAAGAUUUAUCGCCUUUAGAGCGGCCCGCGUCUGAUUAGCUAGUUGGUUGAGGUAGUGGCUCACCAAGGCGACGAUCAGUAGCUGGUCUGAGAGGAUGAUCAGCCACAUUGGGACUGAGACACGGCCCAAACUCCUACGGGAGGCAGCAGUGGGGAAUCUUGCGCAAUGGGCGAAAGCCUGACGCAGCCAUGCCGCGUGAAUGAUGAAGGUCUUAGGAUUGUAAAAUUCUUUCACCGGGGACGAUAAUGACGGUACCCGGAGAAGAAGCCCCGGCUAACUUCGUG